CCAGAGAACUUAGCAGAGAUGCUUUGGUGCCUUCGGGAACUCUGAGACAGGUGCUGCAUGGCUGUCGUCAGCUCGUGUUGUGAAAUGUUGGGUUAAGUCCCGCAACGAGCGCAACCCUUAUCCUUUGUUGCCAGCGGUCCGGCCGGGAACUCAAAGGAGACUGCCAGUGAUAAACUGGAGGAAGGUGGGGAUGACGUCAAGUCAUCAUGGCCCUUACGAGUAGGGCUACACACGUGCUACAAUGGCGCAUACAAAGAGAAGCGACCUCGCGAGGGCAAGCGGACCUCAUAAAGUGCGUCGUAGUCCGGAUUGGAGUCUGCAACUCGACUCCAUGAAGUCGGAAUCGCUAGUAAUCGUGGAUCAGAAUGCCACGGUGAAUACGUUCCCGGGCCUUGUACACACCGCCCGUCACACCAUGGGAGUGGGUUGCAAAAGAAGUAGGUAGCUUAACCUUCGGGAGGGCGCUUACCACUUUGUGAUUCAUGACUGGGGUGAAGUCGUAACAAGGUAAGCGUAGUGCU
rnacentral:rRNA from 1 species